rnacentral:rRNA from 1 species
ACAUUUGGAAACAGAUGCUAAUACCGUAUAAAUCUCAGAAACACAUGUUUCUGAGCUGAAAGGCGGCUUUCGAGCUGUCGCUUUUGGAUGGACCCGCGGUGUAUUAGCUAGUUGGUGAGGUAAAGGCUCACCAAGGCGUGAUACGUAGCCGAACUGAGAGGUUGAACGGCCACAUUGGGACUGAGACACGGCCCAAACUCCUACGGGAGGCAGCAGUAGGGAAUCUUCCACAAUGGACGAAAGUCUGAUGGAGCAACGCCGCGUGAGUGAAGAAGGUUUUCGGAUCGUAAAACUCUGUUGUUGGAGAAGAACACGUUUGAGAGUAACUGUUCAGACGUUGACGGUAUUUAACCAGAAAGCCACGGCUAACUACGUGCCAGCAGCCGCGGUAAUACGUAGGUGGCAAGCGUUAUCCGGAUUUAUUGGGCGUAAAGCGAGCGCAGGCGGUUUUUUAAGUCUGAUGUGAAAGCCCCCGGCUCAACCGGAGAAGUGCAUCGGAAACUGGGAAACUUGAGUGCAGAAGAGGACAGUGGAACUCCAUGUGUAGCGGUGAAAUGCGUAGAUAUAUGGAAGAACACCAGUGGCGAAGGCGGCUGUCUGGUCUGUAACUGACGCUGAGGCUCGAAAGCAUGGGUAGCGAACAGGAUUAGAUACCCUGGUAGUCCAUGCCGUAAACGAUGAAUGCUAGGUGUUGGAGGGUUUCCGCCCUUCAGUGCCGCAGCUAACGCAUUAAGCAUUCCGCCUGGGGAGUACGACCGCAAGGUUGAAACUCAAAGGAAUUGACGGGGGCCCGCACAAGCGGUGGAGCAUGUGGUUUAAUUCGAAGCAACGCGAAGAACCUUACCAGGCCUUGACAUGCAGAGAACUUUCCAGAGAUGGAUUGGUGCCUUCGGGAACUCUGACACAGGUGCUGCAUGGCUGUCGUCAGCUCGUGUCGUGAGAUGUUGGGUUAAGUCCCGUAACGAGCGCAACCCUUGUCCUUAGUUACCAGCACGUUAUGGUGGGCACUCUAAGGAGACUGCCGGUGACAAACCGGAGGAAGGUGGGGACGACGUCAAAUCAUCAUGCCCCUUAUGACCUGGGCUACACACGUGCUACAAUGGCCGGUACAACGAGUUGCGAACUCGCGAGGGUAAGCUAAUCUCUUAAAGCCAUUCUCAGUCCGGACUGUAGGCUGCAACUCGCCUACACGAAGUCGGAAUCGCUAGUAAUCGCGGAUCAGCAUGCCGCGGUGAAUACGUUCCCGGGCCUUGUACACA